rnacentral:antisense_RNA from 1 species
CACCCGGGACCCACUUCGGAGUUCGCCCCCUUUGGGACUCACCUCCGGGAGACCCCGAGGGGGAGAGGGCGCUUCCUCUGCGUCCAUCGCCCUUGCGGCCCCUGGGCCGACAGCCUGGAUUGCUGACAGGCCGAGAGCGUGGCCUUGGGCCCAGGGUGUCCCGAACUCAGCACUGACGUUCCCGAAAAGAGCUCACCUUGAGUCGGAGCUGAGACGUGCAGGACACAGGAACUCCUCCCAGGGUCCUGGAUCCAGCUGCUGCUCACGGCAGGAGGCCCGAAACCAGAAGGCCUGAGCACUUGCCCCAUGCCCAAGAGCUGCACAGAGGCCAGAAGGGGCCGUGCAGGGGUUGACCAAA